GCUACAGCCGAGAGCACAGACAGUCCUCUCACCUCUCCCCAAAUACAGAGGUCAAGGACAAAACUGCCUUUGAAUUCAUUGAGAGCUAGAUAUGUCCCUUGAGGCUCACCUCUAAUUGCUGACCAUAUUCAUUCAUCAGUUAAGGCCAGAAGUGACCACUUAAUCAACUAGUCUGAUCUGUAUAAGACAGGCCAUAGAAUUUCACCUGGAUGCCCCUGUAUUGAGGCAAGUAACUUAAGUUUGACUAAAGCAUAUCUUCCAGAAAGGCAUCAAGUCUUGAUUUGAAGACAUCAAGAGAUGGCAAAUCCACCAUUUUGCUCUGUAGUUUGUUCAGUGGUUAAUCCCACUCACUGUUAAAAAUGUGCAUCUUAUUUCUAAUUUAAAUUUGUCCUGCUUUAUCUUCCAGCCAUCGGCUAUUGUUAUGCCUUUCUCUGCUAGCCCUGGUCUACACUGCGGGGGGAGGGGAAGGAAUCGAUUUAAGUUACGCAACUUCAGCUACGUGAAUAACGUAGCUGAAGUCGACGUGC